AGUUUUGAUUUUGUUAAGUCGGGUAACUAUGACUCUCUUAAGGUAGUCAAAUGCCUCGUCAUCUAAUUAGUGACGCGCAUGAAUGGAU
rnacentral:ncRNA from 1 species